rnacentral:rRNA from 1 species
AGAGUUUGAUCCUGGCUCAGGAUGAACGCUGGCGGCGUGCUUAACACAUGCAAGUCGAACGAAGCACUUUAUUUGAUUUCCUUCGGGACUGAUUAUUUUGUGACUGAGUGGCGGACGGGUGAGUAACGCGUGGGUAACCUGCCUUGUACAGGGGGAUAACAGUUGGAAACGGCUGCUAAUACCGCAUAAGCGCACGGCAUCGCAUGAUGCAGUGUGAAAAACUCCGGUGGUAUAAGAUGGACCCGCGUUGGAUUAGCUAGUUGGUGAGGUAACGGCCCACCAAGGCGACGAUCCAUAGCCGACCUGAGAGGGUGACCGGCCACAUUGGGACUGAGACACGGCCCAAACUCCUACGGGAGGCAGCAGUGGGGAAUAUUGCACAAUGGGCGAAAGCCUGAUGCAGCGACGCCGCGUGAGCGAAGAAGUAUUUCGGUAUGUAAAGCUCUAUCAGCAGGGAAGAUAAUGACGGUACCUGACUAAGAAGCACCGGCUAAAUACGUGCCAGCAGCCGCGGUAAUACGUAUGGUGCAAGCGUUAUCCGGAUUUACUGGGUGUAAAGGGAGCGCAGGCGGUGCGGCAAGUCUGAUGUGAAAGCCCGGGGCUCAACCCCGGUACUGCAUUGGAAACUGUCGUACUAGAGUGUCGGAGGGGUAAGCGGAAUUCCUAGUGUAGCGGUGAAAUGCGUAGAUAUUAGGAGGAACACCAGUGGCGAAGGCGGCUUACUGGACGAUAACUGACGCUGAGGCUCGAAAGCGUGGGGAGCAAACAGGAUUAGAUACCCUGGUAGUCCACACCGUAAACGAUGAUUACUAGGUGUUGGAGGAUUGACCCCUUCAGUGCCGCAGUUAACACAAUAAGUAAUCCACCUGGGGAGUACGACCGCAAGGUUGAAACUCAAAGGAAUUGACGGGGGCCCGCACAAGCAGUGGAGUAUGUGGUUUAAUUCGACGCAACGCGAAGAACCUUACCAAGUCUUGACAUCCCUUGACGAACAUAGAAAUAUGUUUUCUCUUCGGAGCAAGGAGACAGGUGGUGCAUGGUUGUCGUCAGCUCGUGUCGUGAGAUGUUGGGUUAAGUCCCGCAACGAGCGCAACCCUUACUGUCAGUUACUACGCAAGAGGACUCUGGCAGGACUGCCGUUGACAAAACGGAGGAAGGUGGGGAUGACGUCAAAUCAUCAUGCCCUUUAUGACUUGGGCCACACACGUACUACAAUGGCGUUAAACAAAGAGAAGCAAGACCGCGAGGUGGAGCAAAACUCAGAAACAACGUCCCAGUUCGGACUGCAGGCUGCAACUCGCCUGCACGAAGUCGGAAUUGCUAGUAAUCGUGGAUCAGCAUGCCACGGUGAAUACGUUCCCGGGCCUUGCACACACCGCCCGUCA